UACGGAGGGGGCUAGCGUUGUUCGGAAUUACUGGGCGUAAAGCGCACGUAGGCGGCUUUGUAAGUUAGAGGUGAAAGCCCAGGGCUUAACCCUGGAAUUGCCUUUAAGACUGCAUCGCUAGAAUCGUGGAGAGGAUAGUGGAAUUCCCAGUGUAGAGGUGAAAUUCGUAGAUAUUGGGAAGAACACCGGUGGCGAAGGCGGCUCACUGGCUCAUAUCUGACGCUCAGGCGCGACAGCGUGGGGAUCAAACAGG
rnacentral:rRNA from 1 species